CGAACGAACUCUGGUAUUGAUUGGUGCUUGCAUCAUGAUUUACAUUUGACUGAGUGGCGAACUGGUGAGUAACACGUGGGAAACCUGCCCAGAAGCGGGGGAUAACACCUGGAAACAGAUGCUAAUACCGCAUAACAACUUGGACCGCAUGGUCCGAGUUUGAAAGAUGGCUUCGGCUAUCACUUUUGGAUGGUCCCGCGGCGUAUUAGCUAGAUGGUGAGGUAACGGCUCACCAUGGCAAUGAUACGUAGCCGACCUGAGAGGGUAAUCGGCCACAUUGGGACUGAGACACGGCCCAAACUCCUACGGGAGGCAGCAGUAGGGAAUCUUCCACAAUGGACGAAAGUCUGAUGGAGCAACGCCGCGUGAGUGAAGAAGGGUUUCGGCUCGUAAAACUCUGUUGUUAAAGAAGAACAUAUCUGAGAGUAACUGUUCAGGUAUUGACGGUAUUUAACCAGAAAGCCACGGCUAACUACGUGCCAGCAGCCGCGGUAAUACGUAGGUGGCAAGCGUUGUCCGGAUUUAUUGGGCGUAAAGCGAGCGCAGGCGGUUUUUUAAGUCUGAUGUGAAAGCCUUCGGCUCAACCGAAGAAGUGCAUCGGAAACUGGGAAACUUGAGUGCAGAAGAGGACAGUGGAACUCCAUGUGUAGCGGUGAAAUGCGUAGAUAUAUGGAAGAACACCAGUGGCGAAGGCGGCUGUCUGGUCUGUAACUGACGCUGAGGCUCGAAAGUAUGGGUAGCAAACAGGAUUAGAUACCCUGGUAGUCCAUACCGUAAACGAUGAAUGCUAAGUGUUGGAGGGUUUCCGCCCUUCAGUGCUGCAGCUAACGCAUUAAGCAUUCCGCCUGGGGAGUACGGCCGCAAGGCUGAAACUCAAAGGAAUUGACGGGGGCCCGCACAAGCGGUGGAGCAUGUGGUUUAAUUCGAAGCUACGCGAAGAACCUUACCAGGUCUUGACAUACUAUGCAAAUCUAAGAGAUUAGACGUUCCCUUCGGGGACAUGGAUACAGGUGGUGCAUGGUUGUCGUCAGCUCGUGUCGUGAGAUGUUGGGUUAAGUCCCGCAACGAGCGCAACCCUUAUUAUCAGUUGCCAGCAUUAAGUUGGGCACUCUGGUGAGACUGCCGGUGACAAACCGGAGGAAGGUGGGGAUGACGUCAAAUCAUCAUGCCCCUUAUGACCUGGGCUACACACGUGCUACAAUGGAUGGUACAACGAGUUGCGAACUCGCGAGAGUAAGCUAAUCUCUUAAAGCCAUUCUCAGUUCGGAUUGUAGGCUGCAACUCGCCUACAUGAAGUCGGAAUCGCUAGUAAUCGCGGAU
rnacentral:rRNA from 2 species